rnacentral:rRNA from 1 species
UAGAGUUUGAUCAUGGCUCAGGACGAACGCUGGCGGCGUGCCUAACACAUGCAAGUCCAACGAGAAAGUCUCCUUCGGGAGACCGGUAAAGUGGCGGACGGGUGAGUAACGCGUGGGAAUCUACCCGGUAGUGGGGGAUAACCCCCCGAAAGGGGAGCUAAUACCGCAUAAGCCCCAAGGGGUAAAGAUGGCCUCUUUCUAAUGCUAUCGCUUCCGGAUGAGCCCGCGUCCUAUUAGCUAGUUGGUGAGGUAAUGGCUCACCAAGGCUACGAUGGGUAGCCGGUCUGAGAGGAUGAACGGCCACACUGGGACUGAGACACGGUCCAGACUCCUACGGGAGGCAGCAGUGAGGAAUAUUGGACAAUGGAUGGAAAUCUGAUCCAGCCAUGCCGCGUGCAGGAAGACGGCCCUAUGGGUUGUAAACUGCUUUUGUAUGGGAGCAAUAAGAUCUACGUGUAGAUUGAUGAGAGUACCAUACGAAUAAGCACCGGCUAACUCCGUGCCAGCAGCCGCGGUAAUACGGAGGGUGCAAGCGUUAUCCGGAUUUAUUGGGUUUAAAGGGUGCGUAGGCGGUUUGAUAAGUCAGCGGUGAAAUAUUUCAGCUUAACUGGAAGGGUGCCGUUGAUACUGUCGAGCUUGAAUUUAGUUGCUGUGGGUGGAAUGUGUGGUGUAGCGGUGAAAUGCAUAGAUAUCACACAGAAUAUCGAUUGCGAAGGCAGCUCACAAGGCUAAUAUUGACGCUGAUGCACGAAAGUGUGGGGAUCAAACAGGAUUAGAUACCCUGGUAGUCCACACUGUAAACGAUGAUAACUCGCUGUCGGCGAUACACAGUCGGUGGCCAAGCGAAAGCGAUAAGUUAUCCACCUGGGGAGUACGACCGCAAGGUUGAAACUCAAAGGAAUUGACGGGGGCCCGCACAAGCGGAGGAACAUGUGGUUUAAUUCGAUGAUACGCGAGGAACCUUACCCGGGCUCGAACGGUGCAUGAAUAGAUCAGAGAUGGUUUAGUCCUUCGGGACAUGUAUCGAGGUGCUGCAUGGUUGUCGUCAGCUCGUGCCGUGAGGUGUCGGCUUAAGUGCCAUAACGAGCGCAACCCUUGUCGUUAGUUGCCAUCAGGUAAUGCUGGGAACUCUAGCGAGACUGCCACCGUAAGGUGCGAGGAAGGGGGGGAUGACGUCAAAUCAGCACGGCCCUUACGUCCGGGGCGACACACGUGUUACAAUGGCAGGUACAGAGGGCAGCUACCCAGCGAUGGGGUGCGAAUCUCGAAAGCCUGUCUCAGUUCGGAUCGGAGUCUGCAACUCGACUCCGUGAAGUUGGAUUCGCUAGUAAUCGCGCAUCAGCCAUGGCGCGGUGAAUACGUUCCCGGGCCUUGUACACACCGCCCGUCAAGCCAUGGAAGCUGGGGGUGCCUGAAGUUCGUUACCGCAAGGAGCGACCUAGGGCAAAACUGGUAACUGGGGCUAAGUCGUAACAAGGUAACCCUAA